rnacentral:lncRNA from 1 species
GCAAUAGUUGCUGAACGAGUCAAGAGAGAGGAACCAAAUAAGAGGUCUAAUACUUGGGGUGCUGAGCAGAGAAGACCUGGGUAUUUUUGCUUACACUCCAAAUACUGUCAACGGGGAAGAGAGAUAACAUGUGUCAAUACAUCAAAAGGUUAAAGAUCCAGGGGAAAAUGCAAUGUAAUAUCAGGUAAAGUUUUGCUGAGAACUGUAUUGUAAAUAUGGUCAAGGAGGAUGUCCUAUUUGAUGUACAGUUUUAAUCUUACAGCGUCCUAAGGGUAUGCAAACAGUAUCAGGUCCCCACAGCUGUGGCUAUUACAAAAGUAGGCUAAAUCACUGCAAGCAACAGUCUUCCCUAAUUCAUGUAAACAAAUGCAGAAUGUUUUCUAUGCUAUAACUUUUCUUAUAGGUCCCUUGACCAUGAAACCAAUGCUCCUUAUCAAUCACAGCAGUGUGGGCAGAGAACUCUCUGUAAAGAAAAACAAUCCCACAAUAAAAAGUUGAGCAAAUUAUAAUUCUCUUAAUUUUCAUGAAUUAAUUCUGUACCUGUAGUCAAACUGCAAAGGUAUAUUUGGGGUUAUAUUAGAUUAACAACUUUGUUUUUAAGGAAAAUGUCCCCAAAAACCAAAUAUUUAAUGAAUAUUAGCAAAUUCUGCCUGUGAAGAAGUGCAGAAUACAGUUUUUGUCCUUCAUUGCCUUCCCAAAACAUAGAUAGUGCAUUCUACAGGGAAAACACUUAAAUUCUGCUUCCACGCAGCAAGUCAAAAAGUGUUGAGGGACAUUAACUCAACAGAAUAUACUUUGUACUGUUUGACUGAAAACGGAAGCUGCAUUCACAGAUCUUAAUAAUUUUUUUUUACAUUUUUAAGUGCUAUCUAAAAAUUAAUUCAUCACUCAUAAAAAGAUGUCGAGUUUCCAUAAUUAAAAACCAUGAUUUCACACCAGAAAUAAUUUGCCUUUGCAUAUCUUUACCUAGUCCACACCUGGGUUCUACGUUUUUCCUGGCUGCCCCUUUAAACGGUGGAGUAUUGGGGUUUUGCGCAUUUGUGCUCUCAACAGGAAUGAAACCAACAAUGCCUUGCAAGCUGUUGCUGAUGUCAAAAUAACCCAUCUCUUUCUCUCCCACCCCAAACAAAGCAUGUGAUGGAGGCUGCUUCUACUUCAUGCAAGAUUCAUGCAGGCAGCACCGCGAGGUGAAGCUCAGCAAGACUAUAACUGGAUUUCCAAACAGAGAAAGACAAAGGCGGUGAAUUAUUAAAGGGGAGCGAGGGAACAACAAGCUCUGCAAGGCGCCCGUAGGUCACUCCCUUCCCCAUUUGUCAUAAAAUCUGCUUUACUUCAUAAGGGGAAGACAACUAAUCCGUUGCCCUAAGGAUUAAGCUUCCCAAACAUGCAUCCAGAGUUUUGAUGGCCACUCCCUUACUCACUCCAGUUCAGCCAACUGCUUCACUCGUGCUGGACUUGGCCUAUGGCGCUGGCAUUCUGUCCAGUGAUCAACAUGGGUGACAUAAGCGACAGCAAGGGAACACCCUUCUGGAAGCAUUUGCUCCAUGACUGAACGCAGCCUGCUGCAGCCAGCUCACUGAUUCAGGAACAUACAAAUAAACUCUCUUGUCGGUAUAAAAUUGUAGUGCUU